UCGGGAAUUUUGGGCAAUGGGCGCAAGCCUGACCCAGCAACGCCGCGUGAAGGACGAAGCAUCUCGGUGUGUAAACUUCAUAAGAGUGGGAAGAAUAAGCCGCGGAUAAGACCCGCGGCGAUGACGGUACCACUUGUAAGCCCCGGCUAACUCCGUGCCAGCAGCCGCGGUAAUACGGGGGGGGCAAGCGUUGUUCGGAUUUACUGGGCGUAAAGGGCGCGUAGGCGGCCCGCCAAGUCACUUGUGAAAUCUCCGGGCUUAACCCGGAGCGGCCAAGUGAUACUGGCGGGCUGGAGUGCGGAAGGGGCCACCGGAAUUCUCGGUGUAGCGGUGAAAUGCGUAGAUAUCGAGAGGAACACCUGCGGCGAAGGCGGGUGGCUGGGCCGACACUGACGCUGAGGCGCGAAAGCCAGGGGAGCGAACGGG
rnacentral:rRNA from 1 species